CCGAGUAGCUGGGACUACAGGCGCCCGCGACUACGCCCGGCUAAUUUUUUGUAUUUUUAGUAGAGACGGGGUUUCACCGUGUUAGCCAGGAUGGUCUUCGUCUCCUGACCUCGUGAUCCGCCCGCCUCGGUCCCCUAAAGUGCUGGGAUUACAGGCAUACACUCUUAAGUAACCUGGUGGGGACCCAUCAAACUACAAAGGGUUAUAGCUACUCUUACAGAAGACAUAAGAAGAUAUAUACGCAGAGAAGACAUCAUAAGACCUGAAGAUGAAAAACUUCUGAUCACAGAAGAAAGAUAUACAACAGCCUUGAAGCAUUCUGAGAACCCAGUGAAGGCAAUAAUGUCUCUUCCCAGAGAAAUUCACAGAAUUAUGCAAACUUGGCUCAAUUGUCUUCUGGCAUAAUUGGUGCUACAGAGAACAUUGAGAAUCACCUUCCAUUUAGAUCUGGGCUACAUUUUGCCAAGGAGAGGAACAUCUGUGGAGUCUGGAAAGUGGAAGUAAAUCGGAAGCUUUAUUCUCUGGAGGUGGUGGCUGCCAGAUGAACAUGCACAUGUAGCCCCUAGAAGCUUGGAACUGCCCUCAGACUACAGCCAGGAAGCAGACAGGGACUUCAGUUCCACAGCCACAAGGAGCUGAAUUCUGCCAACCAGAAUGAGCAAGAACAUGGAUUCUCCCCUCAAGCCUCCAGAAAAGAAUGCAGCCUACAGUCAGCACUUUAAGUCCCAUGCAACCUAUAAUAGAUUUCUGACCUACAGAGCUUUAAUGUCAUAAAUUGGUGUUGUUUUAAGUCAUGAAGUUUGUGGUAGCUUCUUAUGACAGUAAUUGAAAACUAAUACCUGGUCUUUUUAGCAGAAUAACGAGCACCCUGUAAUGUGUCAUUCAUGCAUAUCUUUUUUUUUUUUUUUUUUUUGGUGGGGGCAGGAAGACAAAACUCUAGAGUUUAAUCUUCCAGCUGACUGACUUGGAAGUGUUCCUGUCAAUAUAAAAGAUCUUGUUGGGGG
rnacentral:lncRNA from 1 species